GGGCCCGCACAAGCGGUGGAGCAUGUGGUUUAAUUCGAUGCAACGCGAAAAACCUUACCUACACUUGACAUACUUCGAAUUUUCUAGAGAUAGAUUAGUGCCUUCGGGAACGGAGAUACAGGUGCUGCAUGGCUGUCGUCAGCUCGUGUCGUGAGAUGUUGGGUUAAGUCCUAUAACGAGCGCAACCCUUACCCUUAUUUGCCAGCGGUUAGGCCGGGAACUAUAAGGGAACUGCCGGUAAUAAGCCGGAGGAAGGUGGGGACGACGUCAAGUCAUCAUGGCCCUUACGUGUAGGGCUACACACGUGCUACAAUGGGAGAUACAGACGGUUGCUAAAGCGCGAGCUGGAGCCAAUCCGACAAAGUCUCUCGU
rnacentral:rRNA from 1 species